AGAGUUUGAUCAUGGCUCAGGAUGAACGCUGGCGGUAUGCUUAACACAUGCAAGUCGAACGGACUCUUCGGAACUUAGUGGCGGACGGGUGAGUAACGCGUGAGAAUCUGCCUUAAGGAUUGGGACAACAGUGGGAAACCGCUGCUAAUACCAAAUAUGCCUUUUAGUGAAACGGGUAAAACCGCCUUAAGAUGAGCUCGCGUCUGAUUAGCUAGUUGGUGUGGUAAGAGCGCACCAAGGCAACGAUCAGUAGCUGGUCUGAGAGGACGACCAGCCACACUGGGACUGAGACACGGCCCAGACUCCUACGGGAGGCAGCAGUGAGGAAUUUUCCGCAAUGGGCGAAAGCCUGACGGAGCAAUACCGCGUGAGGGAGGAAGGUUCUUGGAUUGUAAACCUCUUUUCUCAGAGAAGAAUAAUGACGGUAUCUGAGGAAUAAGCAUCGGCUAACUCCGUGCCAGCAGCCGCGGUAAUACGGAGGAUGCAAGCGUUAUCCGGAAUGAUUGGGCGUAAAGGGUCUGUAGGUGGUUGUUCAAGUCUGCUGUUAAAGCGUCUGGCUUAACCAGAUAAAGGCGGUGGAAACUGAACGACUAGAGUGCGGUAGGGGUAGAGGGAAUUCCCAGUGUAGCGGUGAAAUGCGUAGAGAUUGGGAAGAACACCCGUGGCGAAAGCGCUCUGCUGGACUGCAACUGACAUUGAGGGACGAAAGCUAGGGGAGCGAAUGGGAUUAGAUACCCCCGUAGUCC
rnacentral:rRNA from 1 species